GUGGGGAAUAUUCCGCAAUGGACGAAAGUCUGACGGAGCAACGCCGCGUGAGUGAUGAAGGUUUUCGGACUGUAAAGCUCUGUUGUUUAGGACGAAAGUGCCUGUUGCGAACAGUUACAGGUAUUGACGGUACUAAACGAGGAAGCCACGGCUAACUACGUGCCAGCAGCCGCGGUAAUACGUAGGUGGCAAGCGUUGUCCGGAAUUAUUGGGCGUAAAGAGCAUGUAGGCGGAGAUUUAAGUCUGUUGUGAAAAUGCGGGGCUCAACCCCGUAUUGCGAUGGAAACUGAAGUUCUUGAGUGCAGGAGAGGAAAGGGGAAUUCCCAGUGUAGCGGUGAAAUGCGUAGAUAUUGGGAGGAACACCAGUGGCGAAGGCGCCUUUCUGGACUGUGUCUGACGCUGAGAUGCGAAAGCCAGGGUAGCGAACGGGAUUAGAAACCCUAGUAGUCC
rnacentral:rRNA from 1 species